AAGCAUGCUAGAUUAGCCAUGCAUGUCUAAGUAUAAACAAAUUCAUACUGUGAAACUGCGAAUGGCUCAUUAAAUCAGUUAUAGUUUAUUUGAUGGUACCUUACUACAUGGAUAACUGUGGUAAUUCUAGAGCUAAUACAUGCUGAAAAGCCCCGACUUCUGGGAGGGGUGUAUUUAUUAGAUAAAAAACCAAUGACGGUUCGCCGUCUUGCGUUGAUUCAUGAUAACUUCUCGAAUCGCAUGGCCUUGCGCCGGCGAUGCUUCAUUCAAAUAUCUGCCCUAUCAACUUUCGAUGGUACGGUAGUGGCCUACCAUGGUUAUGACGGGUAACGGGGAAUAAGGGUUCGAUUCCGGAGAGAGGGCCUGAGAAACGGCCCUCAGUCCUAAGGGACGCAGCAGGCGCGCAAAUUAUCCAAUCCCGACACGGGGAGAUAGUGACAAUAAAUAACAAUAUAGGGCUCUUUUGGGUCUUAUAAUUGGAAUGAGUACAAUUUAAAUCCCUUAACGAGGAUCAAUUGGAGGGCAAGUCUGGUGCCAGCAGCCGCGGUAAUUCCAGCUCCAAUAGCGUAUAUUAAAGUUGUUGCCGUUAAAAAGCUCGUAGUCGAACUUCGGCCUCUGCAACCUGGUCCGCCUAAUUGGGUGUGUACUGGAGUUGUGGAGGCUUACCUCGUGGUGAGCGGCGAUGUCCUUUACUGGGCGUCGUCGGGAACCAUGACUUUUACUUUGAAAAAAUUAGAGUGUUCAAAGCAGGCUUACGCCCGAAUACAUUAGCAUGGAAUAAUAAAAUAGGACGUGCGGUCCUAUUUUGUUGGUUUCUAGGAUCGCCGUAAUGAUUAAUAGGGAUAGUUGGGGGCAUUCGUAUUCAAUUGCUAGAGGUGAAAUUCUUGGAUUUAUUGAAGACGAACUACUGCGAAAGCAUUUGCCAAGGAUGUUUUCAUUGAUCAAGAACGAAGGUUAGGGAUCGAAACGAUCAGAUACCGUUGUAGUCUUACAGUAACGAUGCCGACUAGGGAUCGGACGAGGAUUUUUAAUGACUCGUUCGGCACCUGAAGAAGAAAUCUUUAAGUCUAGGUUCCGGGGGGGGGAGUAUGGUCGCAAGGCUGAACUAG
rnacentral:rRNA from 1 species